GAAAUUAAAGCUGUUGCUGCUAUUAGAUUUGUGGUUGAUGCUGUUAUCCUCGCGUUAGAACCUAGAGGGUUGCUGCAUUUCCAAUUUUGUGUGGUUAAUGCGACAUCGAGUGACACAGGUUUGAAGAUGCAAUAUGAAGCUGCAAGCAAUUAGUAGGCCUUCUUUACGAUUUUAAUUGCUUUCAUAGAGUCCCCUUGCUGUUGUCCCUUGAGAUUUUAUUUUACAUAGAGGGGUAGGUUUAGUAUAUUGUAUUUGAGUUUUAUUUGGUUUCUUUUGUAUUAAGAGUUAUUAUUAAUAAUAUUUAUGUGAUUAUUAUUUGUUGGAAAUCUUUGAAACAUGACUUUACUGAAUAAAUACAAAAUUUUCUGG